GAUGAACGCUGGCGGCGUGCCUAAUACAUGCAAGUCGAGCGAACGGACGAGAAGCUUGCUUCUCUGAUGUUAGCGGCGGACGGGUGAGUAACACGUGGAUAACCUACCUAUAAGACUGGGAUAACUUCGGGAAACCGGAGCUAAUACCGGAUAAUAUUUUGAACCGCAUGGUUCAAAAGUGAAAGACGGUCUUGCUGUCACUUAUAGAUGGAUCCGCGCUGCAUUAGCUAGUUGGUAAGGUAACGGCUUACCAAGGCAACGAUGCAUAGCCGACCUGAGAGGGUGAUCGGCCACACUGGAACUGAGACACGGUCCAGACUCCUACGGGAGGCAGCAGUAGGGAAUCUUCCGCAAUGGGCGAAAGCCUGACGGAGCAACGCCGCGUGAGUGAUGAAGGUCUUCGGAUCGUAAAACUCUGUUAUUAGGGAAGAACAUAUGUGUAAGUAACUGUGCACAUCUUGACGGUACCUAAUCAGAAAGCCACGGCUAACUACGUGCCAGCAGCCGCGGUAAUACGUAAGUGGCAAGCGUUAUCCGGAAUUAUUGGGCGUAAAGCGCGUAGCGGUUUUUAAGUCUGAUGUGAAAGCCCACGGCUCAACCGUGGAGGGUCAUUGGAAACUGGAAAACUUGAGUGCAGAAGAGGAAAGUGGAAUUCCAUGUGUAGCGGUGAAAUGCGCAGAGAUAUGGAGGAACACCAGUGGCGAAGGCGACUUUCUGGUCUGUAACUGACGCUGAUGUGCGAAAGCGUGGGGAUCAAACAGGAUUAGAUACCCUGGUAGUCCACGCCGUAAACGAUGAGUGCUAAGUGUUAGGGGGUUUCCGCCCCUUAGUGCUGCAGCUAACGCAUUAAGCACUCCGCCUGGGGAGUACGACCGCAAGGUUGAAACUCAAAGGAAUUGACGGGGACCCGCACAAGCGGUGGAGCAUGUGGUUUAAUUCGAAGCAACGCGAAGAACCUUACCAAAUCUUGACAUCCUUUGACAACUCUAGAGAUAGAGCUUUCCCCUUCGGGGGACAAAGUGACAGGUGGUGCAUGGUUGUCGUCAGCUCGUGUCGUGAGAUGUUGGGUUAAGUCCCGCAACGAGCGCAACCCUUAAGCUUAGUUGCCAUCAUUAAGUUGGGCACUCUAAGUUGACUGCCGGUGACAAACCGGAGGAAGGUGGGGAUGACGUCAAAUCAUCAUGCCCCUUAUGAUUUGGGCUACACACGUGCUACAAUGGACAAUACAAAGGGCAGCGAAACCGCGAGGUCAAGCAAAUCCCAUAAAGUUGUUCUCAGUUCGGAUUGUAGUCUGCAACUCGACUACAUGAAGCUGGAAUCGCUAGUAAUCGUAGAUCAGCAUGCUACGGUGAAUACGUUCCCGGGUCU
rnacentral:rRNA from 1 species